rnacentral:rRNA from 1 species
AUUGAACGCUGGCGGCAGGCCUAACACAUGCAAGUCGAACGAGUGGCGGACGAGUGAGUAAUGUCUGGGAAACUGCCUGAUGGAGGGGGAUAACUACUGGAAACGGUAGCUAAUACCGCAUACCAUCGGAUGUGCCCAGAUGGGAUUAGCGAGUAGGUGGGGGAACGGCUCACCUAGGCGACGAUCCCUCGCUGGUCUGAGAGGAUGACCAUCCACACUGGAACUGCGACACGGUCCAGAAUCCUACGGGAGGCAUCAGUGGGGAAUAUGUCACAAUGGGCGCAAGCCUGAUGCAGCCAUGCCGCGGGUAUGAAGAAGGCCUUCGGGUUGUAAAGUACUUUCAGCGGGGAGGCGUUACCCGAAGAAGAAGCACCGGCUAACUCCGUGCCAGCAGCCGCGGUAAUAC